rnacentral:lncRNA from 10 species
UUCGUUUGCAUUUGGCGUCUGCGUUGCCUUUAUGAGCUGUAGCGCUCACUGCGAAAAUUGUCACUUUAUUUCUGAAGUGGGUGAGAUGACGAGCCCGGCAGGAGGAACGAAACACUCAUCUGUGAAAGUUGCAACUUCAUUUCUGAAGUAGGUUUCCCAUUUUGGCCACGCUUCACAUGCGACACAUAUAGAAGUACACAGCAGCUUCCCCCCUUACCUGCAAGGGAUAUGUUCAGAGAUCUCCAGUGGAUGCCUGA